AAGAAAAUCAAAGAAGGAAAUGCAUUCGACAAUUUGAGAACCACUCUAGCGAGGCACGGGCCAGCUGUGCUAAUCCCCGUUAACUCAUUGAAAAAAAAAGUGAGGAGGGGAUCUAAUAAUAUUUCAGGCUUAUAUAUAUAUAUUGUGUAUUCUCUUUCAAUGCAAUGCUGACUCUUAAGCCGGAAUGCCGCAUAACUAUUAUAUCUGAGGGAGGGGUGUGCAUAUAAUCUAGACUAGACAAUGGCAGACCUGGCCGGUCCGCUGUAUUGAUUGCUUCUGCGAUCGUUCAAUCCCCACGCAGUUAACACCUCUAAAGGAAGACUCAUCAAUAGUGCCUAUAUUUCUAGAAAGGACGAGACACGAAGGCAGUACUACAACUGUGUACAAGGUAAGAAAUAGUUCGUUCCCAUUAUUGUCAACACGGAGUUGGAGUCGUCAACAUUAUGUUCGGAUUCAAACUGUCAAGUAGCCAACUAAAAUGUGAAAUAGAAGAAAAGAUGGCCAACUUAAGUCUGUCUAUAGAUUUACAUGAAACACACAAAAACAGAACCUCUUCAGACAAUGCAUGUCAAAAAGAUGCAAGAAUGUUCUGAUACAACCAAAAUGUACUUACGUCAUUGCCCAGGUGACAAGACUCAGAUUUUUGGCUUUAACACAAUAAUGACUAACAUCAAUGUGUGAAAAAUAAUAUAUGAAAUAAGUGCUCCAGACAGUACAUGGUUUAACAAGGUUCAACUGCCCAGCUCAAAUGGAUUCCAAGCAAAAGUUAGUGCAUGGUGUUGAAGAGUGGUGAUUGAGUGGAGGUAUUAUUGUGAGUCUGCUUACUUGCCAGUUCUAAAUAUGAACACUUCAACAACAGACUGAAUAAAGUAAAUUAAUUGCUUUUGGAACACAUUGAUUUAUUACAAUAAGAAGAUCACAGUCCAAACCGUUUAAACAUGUCCUUUUCUGGUCGCCACUACAAGAGGUGUCUCUCAUCCUUUAGCCUGUCUCUAACCUAUUUCUUUUUAAAGUUUUUUAUGUACUGUCCCAUCACUAAGGAAAUACCCAAUUGAACCCAACUUCUAUGCAUCUUACUAUUCAGUCAUUACAAUGGGUUACUAAGUUUCUACUGCCAAUCUCUAAUGGAUUCCAAACAAAAGUUAGCCAAACGAACAAAUAUUGGUGCUGAUGCUAGACCAAACAAUUUCACAUGAAAUUAUUUCAUCCAGAACUAGAGAAAUUUUAGGCUUGAAAAAAAUGUUUAUAUUUAUUUUGUAAGUGAGAUAUGCUCUUUAAUUGUUGUGUACAUUUUUAAGAGGAGAGAUGGUUAACAAAACAAAGAGUCCCCAGAUGCCAGCAAAACACAUAUAGAACACCAGAUGUCAACAAAAUGUGUUUAGCAUCCAAAUAUCAACAAAACACACAUGGCACCCCAAAUGUCAACAAAACAUAUAUAUAUAUAUAUAUAUAUACACCCAGGGCUUUUUUGUGACCGUAUGCACUGGUACGGCGUACCAGCACCAUUUUGAAUGUGGGGAAAAAAUUAUUACUUUUCUUGUAAUUUAACAUUUAAGUAGUUAAAAGUUAGACUGAGUACCGGCACCUAUUUUUUUUUUUUUUUAAACAAAAAAAAGCACUGUAUAUACCCAAAUAUCAACAAAACAGAUGGAAACCCCAGAUGUCAACAAAACGUGUGAGGCACCAAAAUGUCACCAGACAGCCUCAAUAACAAACAGGUGAUGAGAAGAUUUGAAGAGCUGCAGUUACAUAAAUACUUUAAUCAAUUAUCAACAGGAUCACAAAGCACAUGUAUGUUCAAUUGAGGGGGAAAAAAGUAAAAAAAAAAAUUGAAAAUUACUGAUAUUUUAAUAUGGAUUUAUGUGUAACUAACAAUUAAUGAAUCAUUCAUGAUUAGUCACUAAUGUAUAAAACAGAGGUAUCUUGCACCUAACAACAAGUAGACAAGGAGAGAUAACCAAUGACACACACACACAAAAUGGUAUGAUAAAGAGAUUACUAAAAGAUCUGUCAGAUGACAAGGACAUCUAUUAGUGUUUUUAAGAAUUGUGCUGUCUAAGCAAAUAUUUCAAAAAGCUGACCCCUCAUGGUUGCUACUUUUAUGUCAAUUAAAUCAAACAAUGUCAACAUUUAAUCCCUUUAAAAUAUUAAAACUCUAGCCUAGCCUUAAUUAAUGAUAGAAAUGGUUCUGCACAGAGUAAGAUAAUUAAUGAUACACUUAAAGGAUUAUCACUUAGCCAUCACACCCUCAGCAAUAAUCACCUAGAACUAGCUCUUUUCAAACUAAAGGCACACAUAAGGUGGCAUGCAAGCAAAUAUUGGUGAUUUUAACUUUAAAACUUGCUAGAACUAAAAAGUUAUACAAAUAAUAAGAUUGUAAAAAUGUUUUUUAGACUUGGUAGAUAAAAUACUGGAGAUGCAGCGAAUCAGUGGUAAAGUCCUUGGCUUCUAAACCAGUGGUCCCUGGUUUGAAUCCUGGUGAAGACUUAUCUAUAACUUUAGGAUCUUUAGCACAUUAAGGUGCCUCAGAGUCCACCCAGAUCUAAUGGGUACCUGACAUUAAUUGGGGAAAAGUAAAGACAAUUGGACAUAGUGCUGGCCACAUGACACCCUCCUUAACUGUGGACCACAAAAACAGACGACCUUAACAACAUCUACCCUAUAGCCCUAUAGAUUGCAAGGCCUGAAAGGGGGAACUUUACUUUUAGAUAAUAUACUGUGUUUGUUCACUAAUGAUAGGAAGUGUAGAGCCUACAACAGUAAUAUGCAGAACACUAUUAUACUUGCAAAUAAUAAUAAAAGGUAUUCGUC